AUACGGAGGGUGCAAGCGUUGUUCGGAAUUAUUGGGCGUAAAGCGCACGUAGGCGGACUGCUAAGUCCGAUGUGAAAUCCCUCGGCUCAACCGAGGACGUGCAUUGGAUACUGACAGUCUUGAAUCCCGGAGAGGGUGGCGGAAUUCCCAGUGUAGAGGUGAAAUUCGUAGAUAUUGGGAGGAACACCAGCGGCGAAGGCGGCCACCUGGACGGUGAUUGACGCUGAGGUGCGAAAGUGUGGGGAGCAAACAGGAUUAGAUACCCCAGUAGUCC
rnacentral:rRNA from 1 species